UGCCUAACACAUGCAAGUCGAACGAAGCACCUUUUGAGAUUCUUCGGAUGAUCGAUCGGUGACUGAGUGGCGGACGGGUGAGUAACGCGUGGGUAACCUGCCCUGUACAGGGGGAUAACAGCUGGAAACGGCUGCUAAUACCGCAUAAGCGCACGAGGAGACAUCUCCUUGUGUGAGAAACUCCGGUGGUACAGGAUGGGCCCGCGUCUGACUAGCUGGUUGGCAGGGUAACGGCCUACCAAGGCAACGAUCAGUAGCCGGUCUGAGAGGAUGAACGGCCACAUUGGAACUGAGACACGGUCCAAACUCCUACGGGAGGCAGCAGUGGGGAAUAUUGCACAAUGGGGGAAACCCUGAUGCAGCAACGCCGCGUGAGUGAAGAAGUAUUUCGGUAUGUAAAGCUCUAUCAGCAGUGAAGAUAAUGACGGUACCCGACUAAGAAGCUCCGGCUAAAUACGUGCCAGCAGCCGCGGUAAUACGUAUGGAGCAAGCGUUAUCCGGAUUUACUGGGUGUAAAGGGUGCGUAGGUGGCAGUGCAAGUCAGAUGUGAAAGGCCGGGGCUCAACCCCGGAGCUGCAUUUGAAACUGCUCGGCUAGAGUACAGGAGAGGCAGGCGGAAUUCCUAGUGUAGCGGUGAAAUGCGUAGAUAUUAGGAGGAACACCAGUGGCGAAGGCGGCCUGCU
rnacentral:rRNA from 1 species